UGAGGAAUAUUGGUCAAUGGGCGAGAGCCUGAACCAGCCAAGUCGCGUGAAGGAUGAAGGUUCUAUGGAUUGUAAACUUCUUUUAUAUGGGAAUAAAGUGCAGCACGUGUGCUGUUUUGUAUGUACCUUAUGAAUAAGCAUCGGCUAACUCCGUGCCAGCAGCCGCGGUAAUACGGAGGAUGCGAGCGUUAUCCGGAUUUAUUGGGUUUAAAGGGUGCGUAGGUGGUGAUUUAAGUCAGCGGUGAAAGUUUGUGGCUCAACCAUAAAAUUGCCGUUGAAACUGGGUUACUUGAGUAUAUUUGAGGUAGGCGGAAUGCGUGGUGUAGCGGUGAAAUGCAUAGAUAUCACGCAGAACUCCAAUUGCGAAGGCAGCUUACUAAACUAUAACUGACACUGAAGCACGAAAGCGUGGGUAUCAAACA
rnacentral:rRNA from 1 species